AUGCUUUAAAGAUUUGUUAAAUCCUCUCACAUUCCAGAAGAAGCACGACAUAUUAGUUUUUUUUCCGAGAAGGCCUUGUGCUCUUAGCAGGAUUUAUAUCCCGAGCUUUAAGCUUCGGCCCCCUUUUCAACCCUUUCUUCAUCGCCCCUUUUCCUUUUCCUCUACUCUGAUGCUCUAAUAUGUCCUCCUCUAACUGGUCUUCUUCAGAUCUUAUCAUCUGAUCACACAUCUCCAUUGUCUCCUCUUCAAUAUCCUCCUGAUCAUCUAUUGCUAUCUCACCUCCCUCCAUUUCUGUUUCACCCUCCUUCUGAUCAUCUACUGUUAGCACCGAGUAUUUUGAUGCAGAGAUCUGAACAACAGACACAUGCCCCAGUGAAAAUCUUCCCACUUUUUCUAAAGGAACCGUGGACCAAUUUGAGUCUCUACUCUCUUGAUCCCCCGAACCCUCUCCUGCCUCUUUUAUACAAUCUACCUCUUGCAGAACCUCCUCAGUAACCUCCUUCUCUACAUGUUUACCAAUAUCAUCACUAUCACUCCUCAAAUCAACCACAACCUCCUUUUUCUUCUUUUCCUUACCAUUC
rnacentral:lncRNA from 1 species